rnacentral:rRNA from 1 species
AGAGUUUGAUCCUGGCUCAGGAUGAACGCUGGCGGCGUGCUUAAUACAUGCAAGUCGAACGGGGAGCUUGGACUUCGGUUUAGGCUUCUAGUGGCGAACGGGUGAGUAACGCGUUGGUGACCUGCCCCGAAGAGAUGGAUAACAGUUCGAAAGGACUGCUAAUACCGCAUAAUCUCUAUCUAGUUAGAAGUGGAUAGAGGAAAGGAGCAAUCCGCUUUGGGAGGGGCCUGCGUCCCAUCAGCUAGUUGGUAGGGUAAAGGCCUACCAAGGCGACGACGGGUAGGGGACCUGAGAGGGUGACCCCCCACACUGGCACUGAAACACGGGCCAGACACCUACGGGUGGCAGCAGUAGGGAAUAUUGCACAAUGGGCGAAAGCCUGAUGCAGCAACGCCGCGUGCGCGAUGAAGGCCUUCGGGUCGUAAAGCGCUUUUCGGGGAGAAGAGGAAGGACGGUAUCCCCGGAAGAAGGAUCGGCUAACUACGUGCCAGCAGCCGCGGUAACACGUAGGAUCCGAGCGUUAUCCGAAUUCACUGGGCGUAAAGCGCGUGCAGGCGGUACGGUAAGUUGGAUGUGAAAUCUCCUGGCUCAACUGGGAGGGGACGUUCAAUACUGUCGAACUAGAGGGCGGUAGAGGGAGGUGGAAUUCCCGGUGUAGUGGUGAAAUGCGUAGAUAUCGGGAGGAACACCAGAGGCGAAGGCGGCCUCCUGGACCGCACCUGACGCUCAGACGCGAAAGCUAGGGGAGCGAACGGGAUUAGAAACCCCGGUAGUCCUAGCCGUAAACGAUGUAGACUUGGUGUUGGUGGUGUAAAAACCACCAGUGCCGAAGCAAACGCGAUAAGUCUACCGCCUGGGGACUACGGCCGCAAGGUUAAAACUCAAAGGAAUUGACGG